GAUGAACGCUGGCGGCGUGCCUAAUACAUGCAAGUCGAGCUAACAGACGAGGAGCUUGCUCCUCUGACGUUAGCGGCGGACGGGUGAGUAACACGUUGAUAACCUACCUAUAAGACUGGGACAACUUCGGGAAACCGGAGCUCAUACCGGUGAAUAUAUUGAAACGCUUAGUUCAAUAGUCAAAGACGGUUUUGCUGUCUCCUAUCGAUGGAUCCGCGCCGCAUUAGCUAGUUCGUAAGGUCACGGCUUACCAAGGCAACGAUGCGUAGCCGACCUGAGAGGGUGAUCGACCACACUGGAACUCAGACACGGAACAGACUCCUGCGGGAGGCAGCAGUAGGGAAUCUCCCGCAAAGGGCGAAAGCGUGACAGAGCCACGCCGCGUGAGGGAUGAAGGUCUUCGGAUCGUAAAACUCUGUUAUUAGGGAAGAACAAAUGUGUAAGUAACUAUGCACGUCUGGACGGUACCUAAUCAGAAAGCCACGGCUAACUACGUG
rnacentral:rRNA from 1 species